AGGAAGGAACGGGACAGGAAACAGUAGCUGCAGAAGGUUGUCGGUUGUCACGCUCUUCACGAUGAAAAUUAAAAGGUGAUAUAGCAUGUAGAAACCAAUCUGCCAAAUCAUUCAACUCCGACUUGGGAAGUGCCUGUACAUUUCCGAAAUGGCGUGCCUCGUGUGUCUCGCUGCCUGUUUUUUGGCUUACGUCUCACCCCAUUCAACACGAAAAAGUGAAACAAACACUGGUGGUUACCUUGUUGCAGCCAAAUGGUGAAAGGUGUGACGAAGACAG